rnacentral:rRNA from 1 species
UACGUAGGCAGCAAGCGUUGUCCGGAAUUAUUGGGCGUAAAGAGCUCGUAGGCGGCCUGUUGCGUCCGCUGUGAAAGCCCGGGGCUUAACCCCGGGUCGGCAGUGGAUACGGGCAGGCUAGAGGUAGGUAGGGGAGAAUGGAAUUCCCGGUGUAGCGGUGAAAUGCGCAGAUAUCGGGAGGAACACCGGUGGCGAAGGCGGUUCUCUGGGCCUACCUGACG